GAUGAACGCUAGCGGGAGGCCUAGCACAUGCAAGCCGAGCGGUAUUGUUUCUUCGGAAAUGAGAGAGCGGCGUACGGGUGCGGAACACGUGUGCAACCUGCCUUUAUCUGGGGGAUAGCCUUUCGAAAGGAAGAUUAAUACUCCAUAAUAUAUUGAACGGCAUCGUUUGAUAUUGAAAGCUCCGGCGGAUAGAGAUGGGCACGCGCAAGAUUAGCUAGGUGGUGAGGGAACGGCUCACCAAGGCGAUGAUCUUUAGGGGGCCUGAGAGGGUGAUCCCCCACACUGGUACUGAGCCACGGACCAGACUCCUACGGGAGGCAGCAGUGAGGAAUAUUGGUCAAUGGGUGCAAGCCUGAACCAGCCAUCCCGCGUGAAGGACGACUGCCCUAUGGGUUGUAAACUUCUUUUGUAUAGGGAUAAACCUACCCUCGUGAGGGUAGCUGAAGGUACUAUACGAAUAAGCACCGGCUAACUCCGUGCCAGCAGCCGCAGUAACAC
rnacentral:rRNA from 1 species